UUAAUUUUGUAUUCUUUUUUUACUUAAUGCAUUUUCUCUUUUGUUUUAUUAUUUUAUUCUACUUGCUUGUCAUGAGUGCUUUUCCUAAAAUGCAUACUAGACUUGCAUUUUAAACAAUGGGAUCAAAAGGUUUAAGUAUUUGGGAAAGCAAAUUCAAUUUCAUGGCUUCUCAUGACCAAAUCUUUAGAUCUUGUUUUCACUAGUAGAUGACACUGUUUGGGGUGCCUCUAAAACAGUCAAUCAAAGGCUUGCAGUGCUCACAGAGUGAUUCACAGCUUGUCUUGAUCACUCAGCAGUUGCUUUAGUUCCAAGCAGCAGAAGUCUGAGGCCUGAAGUGCAAGCAUAUGAUUGAAGACUUAGCUAAUCAGCUUUCUCCAGGAUUUAUGGUUCCUAGCAGAUGAGCAGUAGUAGUUCAGUCUGAGGCGUACAAACCACAUCAGUAAUGUGUUAGCUGUGUUCCCCCGUAUAAAUCAAGUGAUGAUGCGAGAGUUACCCUGUUACACCUCUUAAAAGUCUAAAAUAUGUGAGGUUUGGCUAUUGGAUUUCCUGGUAGAUGGAAGAAGGAACGUGGAGGAAAGCAAGCAGUCUUUGCUGCAGCACUUGUAGCUGUUUAUCUUGGUGUCCAGGAGAACCCUUUCUUUCAUUUAGAAGAAUACUGUAAUUUUUAAAGUGCCACCAAGUUUGUAAUACCUGUAUAAGCCAUCUGGCAUUGCUCUAAUAUGGAGUGGGAGCACCCUCUCUGGCAGCCAAAACGCGUAGGGAGGCUGCUUCAGGAGAGCCAUGUCUGCACAGUCCUGUAACUACUCUGCUCUCUUGCAGUUUCCAUAGGUAUCCCUGGUCCUAGAAAUGGAUGAAGUAAGGAAGUUAAAAAUCUGAGCUAUUUCUCAUGUUACUGAUGUUUCACUCGUAGUUUGAGAUUUUUCUGGAGCUAACACCAAAUUCAUACGCUGUUGGUAAAUUUCAAGAUCAAUCUGGAUUUCCAAAAACAAGUGCUUGAAAAAGAAAGGUCCUGAAAAGAAAGAUUGUAGGCCUUUGUUGCAGCUCAUACCAAAUAGAAGAGAUAUUGUACAAUAUUCUUGGUGUAGUAUAAGCUUUGGAAAUUUUAAAAUCUCUAGUUAUUUUUAAAGUUCCAUUUCUUUCUCUGCAGAGUUUUUGGCAUUGGUGGUCUGGCAAGUGUUACACAGUACUUCUCAACACAAGCUCUAAAGGUUUCUUUUAAGAACAAAUGCAAAUACAUUUUUGUGUCCAAAGAGGACAAAGGAAAACAGCUGCUGCUGAGCAACAGUUCCAGGAACUGGGGACUGCAUUAUUAAAAUUGCAAAGACAGAUGGACUUCCUGGCCUCUACAGGGAUUGAGUGGUUCAGUACAGGGAAUUGUUGCACACCAGGCCUUCUGUUUUGGAUGUUAUGACACCAUUAAGGUAGCUUUUACAAACAGAAAUGAACACAUUUUAAAUCUUUAUCAUCACAUUUAUUAUGAACUAAUGAGGGUGUUAGCUACAGCUUUUCCAUUUACAGUUAUUUGUGCUCAACAGACUAUUACUGAAGAGCCAAGUCAUUCUACAUUAGGAUUAACAGAACAGAAUUGAUCAAAAUUACAUUUUUUAUCUACUGGAUUUGAUGUGCGUUUUACAGAACUUGUAGAGGCUUCCACUUUUGUUUUGUAAAAGUAUGUUCAAUUCACAGCUUGGUGAAGGCUUUCAGUAGAAAACUAGGAUUGGUUUUCCUUUUCCUACUCAGAGCCAGAUAUCUGGAGUAGGACAGGUUUGUGGGUAGAACAAUUUAACUAAGGAGUUCAGUAGCAUUUGAAGUACAUAUAAUAAUACAAAUUCUUGCUGUGAAGAUUAUCUUCAAGCAAAUAAAAAAGCACCACAAAAAUGCUCUUGAGAAACCAGGACCUCGUUCCCUGCAUCUCUGAGGAAGUUCUGCCAUCCGAUAAUAGGAAAGAGUUGUUAGUUCCAAAGUGUUUCUUUGCUUUGUUUCAAGGAUCUCCUCUCGGUAUUCCAGGAAGUCAAAAGAAAAUCUGAAUAAAUGUUGGCAUAGAACUUGCUUAGGUCAUUUCAAAAAAUCCCAGGGAUACUUAAAUUCUUACAUAAUGCCCUGCAUACCUCUGGUCAUCUGCCCUAAACACCAGAAACCUUGAAGCUUGCCCCAUUAGCACUACUGAUGUCUUCCUUUCAGACUAAAUGUGAUUUCACUGUUUCAUGCUUUAUCUGCUCCACGAGCAGCAGGCCUGCAGUUCAUGCUGGUUUUACUUCAGAGUGCUGUGCCUCUUGAGGCUUUACCAAAGAAUUGCCUCUGUUUCUGGUCAUCAGCUUACCACUAGGAUGGAGAAGAGUAUCAAGAUGAUUAAAAACAUAAAUUGUAAUAAUUUUGAGUAAGAGAAUGGGUUUACUAGCACAAAAAAUGAGAAUGAGAGGAUUUAUAUAUUUUGUGGAUGUAUAAAGGUAUUUUGUGAGUGAUCCUUGUUUCAUUCAUGUUGUUCUGAAGGUACAAAUUAAGCUGAUUAGCAUGAUUUUAACAAUUUCUUAUCAUGUGGCUUAUUCUGAUCCAAGUGGAGGCCUUGAAUUAAAUAUAGCACCUGUUAUUUCUCCAGUUAAGACUGUAUUUUCCAGAUGGGAUAACUUUCUGAAAAAACAAGCAUACUACAGUUGCUGCUUUCAGCAAAACUGGUUUCUGUCAGCUAAGCAGCAAAAACCAUUAUUAAAUAGCCUUUCAUUUGCAUAUAUUCACAUUGAUCCAAAACAAAAUAUGCUAAAUGCUCUUUAGCUAUGUUACUACACUUAUUUAUAUUGAUCACGUGAACAUACAUUUCAUAUGUUUGAAUCACAAUGGCUUAAAAUAGACAAGACUGUCUUUCUGCCAUUACGGAGAACCUAGAACCUUACCUUGACAUUGCAAGUGGAUUUGAUUUCAGAUGUGGCUAGGUUAAAUCUUCAAUAUUAGUUUAAAAAAAAGUAUCUUCUCUCCACUAGAAUUUGACAUAAUGAGAGGGAUUUGGAUUUGUCUCUCCCAAAAAAAAGUGUGCAUGUUUCCCAAAAAAAAGUGUACAUGUUUUUUGCUAGUGAAGACAAAAAACCAGUACUGGUUCCUAAUACAGCCUUAGUAUGUUUUAGAGGACUCUAUUGAUCACUAGUGAACUGCAAUCUACUUGGUACAAAACUAUUUCAGUCAUACCAAAGAAGGAAACAAAAAAUGAGCUGUGCAAGUUUUAAUAGCAUUGAAAGAAUUCAGAGCACCCUUAGCACUGGAGUGACCUCAUUUAAUUCCUAAGCCUUCUACUUGCCCAGUAGAGCUUAAAAGAAGCAUCAGAAGAAGGAUCACAGCCUUUCUAAAUUUAGCCAUUGGUACCAGCUAACAGAGCGUGACACCAGAUAAAUAUUUACUAGUCAAAAGAUCACUCCUUUGGAGUGAUCCAUUAGGAAAAAAUGGUGUCCUUUACUACAGAAAGACCAAUGAAUCCAAGAAAAUACUUACUUGCCUCUUGUUUGAAAUUCUCAAUGUUUCCAUUUUGUUCAUACUAAAACAACAUUGAAAAGGCUCUUA